GACGAACGCUGGCGGCGUGCCUAAUACAUGCAAGUUGAGCGCUGAAGACUGGUACUUGUACCGGUUGGAUGAGCAGCGAACGGGUGAGUAACGCGUGGGUAACCUGCCCUAUAGAGGGGGAUAACUAGAGGAAACUUUAGCUAAUACCGCAUAAAAUCUAAUAACACAUGUUAUAAGAUUGAAAGUGCCAACUGGUACACUAUAGGAUGGACCCGCGUUGUAUUAGCUAGUUGGUGAGGUAAAGGCUCACAAAGGCGAUGAUACAUAGCCGACCUGAGAGGGUGAUCGGCCACACUGGGACUGAGACACGGCCCAGACUCCUACGGGAGGCAGCAGUAGGGAAUCUUCGGCAAUGGACGAAAGUCUGACCGAGCAACGCCGCGUGAGUGAAGAAGGUUUUCGGAUCGUAAAACUCUGUUGUAAGAGAAGAACACCAGUAAGAGUGGAAAGCUUACUGGCUGACGGUAUCUUACCAGAAAGCCACGGCUAACUACGUGCCAGCCGCCGCCGUAA
rnacentral:rRNA from 1 species